rnacentral:rRNA from 1 species
CCUACGGGUGGCAGCAGUGGGGAAUAUUGGGCAAUGGGCGCAAGCCUGACCCAGCAACGCCGCGUGAAGGAAGACGGCUUUCGGGUUGUAAACUUCUUUUCUGAGGGACGAAGAAAGUGACGGUACCUCAGGAAUAAGCCACGGCUAACUACUUGCCAGCAGCCGCGGUAAUACGGAGGUGGCAAGCGUGAUCCGGAUUUAUGGGGGGUAAAGGGCGUGUAGGCGGGAAAGCAAGUCAGAUGUGAAAACUCAGGGCUCAACCCUGAGCCUGCAUUUGAAACUGUGUUUCUUGAGUGCUGGAGAGGCAAUCGGAAUUCCGUGUGUAGCGGUGAAAUGCGUAGAUAUACGGAGGAACACCAGUGGCGAAGGCGGAUUGCUGGACAGUAACUGACGCUGAGGCGCGAAAGCGUGGGGAGCAAACAGGAUUAGAUACCCCUGUAGUC